GGGCCGGUAGCUCAAUCGGUCAGAGCGGCGGGCUCAUAACCCGCUGGUUGCAGGUUCGAGCCCUGCCCGGCCCA
rnacentral:tRNA from 1 species